GCCUUCGGGCACUUGGUCUAUUGAAGCGAUACAGAGAAGAUUAGCAUGGCCCCUGCACUAAGGAUGACACACUCAAUCAAAGAAAAGCAACCAUUUUUU
rnacentral:snRNA from 1 species